AUGCAGUCGACGCUGAAGCUCCAGCUUGCUGGGGUGGAUGAGUGGCGAACGGGUGAGUAACACGUGAGUAACCUUCCCUUGACUCUGGGAUAAGCCCGGGAAACUGGGUCUAAUACCGGAUAUGACCUCCUGUCGCAUGGUGGGGGGUGGAAAGAUUUAUCGGUCUUGGAUGGACUCGCGGCCUAUCAGCUUGUUGGUGAGGUAAUGGCUCACCAAGGCGACGACGGGUAGCCGGCCUGAGAGGGUGACCGGCCACACUGGGACUGAGACACGGCCCAGACUCCUACGGGAGGCAGCAGUGGGGAAUAUUGCACAAUGGGCGCAAGCCUGAUGCAGCGACGCCGCGUGAGGGAUGACGGCCUUCGGGUUGUAAACCUCUUUCAGUAGGGAAGAAGCCUUCGGGUGACGGUACCUGCAGAAGAAGCGCCGGCUAACUACGUGCCAGCAGCCGCGGUAAUACGUAGGGCGCGAGCGUUAUCCGGAAUUAUUGGGCGUAAAGAGCUCGUAGGCGGUUUGUCGCGUCUGCCGUGAAAGUCCGGGGCUUAACCCCGGAUCUGCGGUGGGUACGGGCAGACUAGAGUGCAGUAGGGGAGACCGGAAUUCCUGGUGUAGCGGUGAAAUGCGCAGAUAUCAGGAGGAACACCGAUGGCGAAGGCAGGUCUCUGGGCUGUUACUGACGCUGAGGAGCGAAAGCAUGGGGAGCGAACAGGAUUAGAUACC
rnacentral:rRNA from 1 species